rnacentral:tRNA from 1 species
GAGGGUAUAGCUCAGUGGUAGAGCACACACCUAACAUAUACAAGAUCCUGGGUCCAACCCCCAGUACCUCCA